UCAAGAAGUUCACAUAAAUCUUAUCAAAGCUAAAAGCAGUGCUUCCAAAUGUCAUGUAAAAACAAUCAAGUAUUUUUUUUAUAUAAAAAAAUUGUUUUAACCAAAACAAAUGGGCUUGAUAACCUAUAAAAGAUGAACAUGUUUAAAACAAUAAAGACAGUCUUUUUUUAUGAUGGAUAGAAAAAAGAACAAAGUUAAAUGCAUGUAAAAGGGCCAACCAAUGAUUAAACACAAAUAACAAAGAAAGAAAGCAGAAUAAAAAGUGAAGUUAUACGUGGACACUAAAACAAAAGAUUCCAAUCAAAGCAAUCAAUUCAUCUGCCCACCAAAGCAUAGACGAAGGAAAACCAUCAAAUAUUAUUUUCAUCUGUCAGCAAUUCCAUGCAUAUAAACAGACAUUCUAUUUAUGUCCACCCAAUUAUAUGUUGACAUUUGAAGCUUCAAGUGCGGUAAAAAAAGCUGUGCUUAUUUAUUCACCACUGUAUUCAUGUAUAUAUCCACAUUAAAUAAAUGCACAGGUGACCAUUAUAAUGCUCAAUCUAGAAUUUGCAAUCAUCCACUAAAUUUAACAACAUUUGAUAUAGUCUCUUCCUAGCAAUUAAGCCUAAUCAGCAGAUGGAAUUCUUAGACAGAAGCGGUAAGUUGGCAAGAUUGUCUUAUGUUUGGUUUUACUUAAUGAUACCAGAAGCUGUCAGGCCAACAUUUGUGCAGCUUAUCCAGAAAGCAUCUCUUUCCAUCACCCAUUUGCUUGGAAAAUGUGACUGCAUCUAAGUGUAAAUGUUAACCACCUUCUCAUUAAAGAGACUUAAAUGACUACAAAAGAUGAGUUGCUCCACACAAAUUGGUGCCACAACUCUAGCUUACAAUUAUGAUACAUUUUUUAUACACUCGUUUUGCAUUAACUUCUAUUUUUCCCAUUAGUGGUUGUUUUGAUAUGUAAAAUCAAUGAUACUUCACUGUGAUAGUGUACGCCCAUUAAAGUUCAGGAACACAAAUAUUUUUGACCUAAUUUAAAACCUAAGCGACACGUUUAUCUGUUUACCUCACUCAGAUCAUGCCCUUUAUGGAAUGUGAUGAUAGUGAUUCAUUAAAUCCAAAAUAAUUAAAGAGGUUCCCAAAAACCGGUGAUAUUCCCAAUGUCUUUCUUAUUUUAAUAAAACCAUUUGAACUUCCUAGUGAUAAACAAAAUUAAAACCUCAAAAAACUGUCAACAGAAUAACAAAUCAACAAUCAUAGCAAAUAUGUGUACCGUUUACAGCUAGGUGCAAGUAUGCAUUUCGAUGUCAACUUUCAUUUCCACUAAAAGUGUCAAAAUGCAUAUGCAAACAUAAAGUUUAUGCACGAAUACAAGUGUCCGUCAUUACUAACAGACACAAUGCAUACACCAAACAUGAUCAACAAAGCUACCUUUUAUGUGCUUCCUUUACUCAAGAUAUUAGCGAAAUAUAUUUUAUGACAUUUACAAGAAAUACACUUCAACAAAAAAUAUUUAUAGGAUAGUUAAAUCAAUGCAGUUCAAAAUGCAGAAACAUUUUAGCCAAAAUAAUUUAAAGGCAAAAAUAACAGGAAAAAUUCAGUUAAAAAAUAAAUACAUGACGUCCAAUUACUCAAAAAACUUGAGUUAAGGAAACAUUUCGCAUUAAAUUCUCAAAGUUGAAACAAAGUAAAGCAACAAAAUGGAGUCGAUAUAUAGAGAAAUUUUUUACAGGAUAAUAAAUCAAUGCAGUUCAGAAGGGGAACAAAAACUUAAAAUAAUUUUAAACGCAAAAAUAACAUGCAAAACUU